UACGUAGGGCGCAAGCGUUAUCCGGAAUUAUUGGGCGUAAAGAGCUCGUAGGCGGUUUGUCGCGUCUGCCGUGAAAGUCCGGGGCUCAACUCCGGAUCUGCGGUGGGUACGGGCAGACUAGAGUGCGGUAGGGGAGACUGGAAUUCCUGGUGUAGCGGUGAAAUGCGCAGAUAUCAGGAGGAACACCGGUGGCGAAGGCGGGUCUCUGGGCCGUAACUGACGCUGAGGAGCGAAAGCAUGGGGGAGCGAACAGG
rnacentral:rRNA from 1 species